AUUGAACGCUGGCGGCAGGCCUAACACAUGCAAGUCGAACGGUAACAGGAAGCAGCUUGCUGCUUUGCUGACGAGUGGCGGACGGGUGAGUAAUGUCUGGGAAACUGCCUGCUGGAGGGGGAUAACUACUGGAAACGGUAGCUAAUACCGCAUAACGUCGCAAGACCAAAGAGGGGGACCUUCGGGCCUCUUGCCAUCGGAUGUGCCCAGAUGGGAUUAGCUAGUAGGUGGGGUUACGGCUCACCUAGGCGACGAUCCGUAUCUGGUCUGAGAGGAGGACCGGCCACACUGGAGCGUAGACACGGUCCAGACGCCUACGAGAGGCAGCAGUGGGGAAUAUUGCACAAUGGGCGCAAGCCUGAUGCAGCCAGGCCGCGUGUAUGAAGAAGGCCUUCGGGGUGGAAAGUACGUUCAGCGGGUAGGAAGGGAGUAAGGUUAAUACCUUGGCUCAUUGACGUUACCCGCAGAAGAAGCACCGGCUAACUCCGUG
rnacentral:rRNA from 1 species